CUUCGAGAGUUUUUUCCAACCUAUACGAUUUGAGUGUUGUAACCCAUAUUGGUUUCAGUAAUGUUAUCUAAUAUCGGAAGUCCAUCAGUUGUACACGAUUUAGAUGAUGGAUAGUUUGAGUGGUCUACUGAUAACCUAUACACUGAUUGACGUCAAGUCUUAUAACUGUGUACGAUCAUUAAAAACGAGAUAUAUAAUAGUCGAUUUUAAUGUACUGAUUUGAUCAUACAUUCCAGAAUACCGUUUAAUAAGAAAUUCCGUACUUAAUAUUUUGAAAUGUAAAACCAAAGUCAUCUAGACAGACACCUCCUCCCCCAAUUUACCCACUUCUGUUUUAAGAUUUUUUUUAUGCAAUGAAGUUAAUAAUAGUAAAUUUAUCUACAAUUGAAUAAUAAUUUAAAUGUUUUUACAAUUGGUUGAAAUUAAAAUUUAUAAUGAUUAUAAACCUAACUAAAUUAUAUAUAGUUUUAUCAUAGAAAAUAUUCAAAAUAUCGCUCUAUGAUUAUUUUUUUCUUUUUAUUUUUUCAAUAUUGUGUCGGAAUUAUAAUUCAAAAUUUGCACGUGCUU